AGUGGUGAUAAAACAUUACUUUCGCUUCAAGAUUAUGACGCUUUAAAACAUUUAGACGAUGUUCCACUUCCACUGAAGCGCAGCAAGAGUUUCACAUUUUUACCACCUGACAUGAGGGAGUGUGAUUCUGGGGAGCGGCUGGAGUCAGAGGAGCUCUGUGGGAAACCUGUUACUGAAUGAGGAAAGAGAAAGAAAGAACCUGAAAGACCCACCAGAGUAACAGGAGAACUCCAAGACAAGAAGAUCUCAGUGAUCAACUGUCCAGACCAGCUCCAGCUCGACCUCACUGCAGAUGCACAGUCACACAGUUUGGAAUUUAACAUUAUGUUGUACAGCUCCUCCUGCUAAUCCUUCUCUUUUGGUG